UGAGAGAAGGAAGAAAAUGAUCUUGUGCACAACCUUCUAGCUCUAGAUUCCAUUGUUGGAGAGAUGACAGAAGAUGGAAUGAAAAAUGAUUAUAUCAAGUUAUACUGAUAGUGGAACGAUAUUAGUUUUUUUUUUUCCUUUUGAAAAGAAAAUCUUAGUGGGAGGGCUGUGAGUUGAUGUAUCUACCUUAAUAAAGUGAUAUGUGGUUGCUUCUAUGGAGUGGCUCAUCAGUGGAUGAAGAAUUCAGCACCACAUCUCAGGCAAAUGAUGAAAAUUCACAUGCGGAGGACAAUGAAUUCAUGUAAACAUGGUGAUAAAUGGUGUUGUGAGAAAAACAAGAUGGAACUGAGAUUAAGGUGAGUUUAAAAUGUUACUGUUGUUUAUUGAAAGUUGUUUUGUUUUAGAAUAUGAACAAGGAAUUGUCAGAAGCAGUGAUCAGCACAGGAAGUAACAGUUUUCCUUUCUCUUUUUUCUCUGAAGAACUUUGUUAUUUAGAGAGGGCAUAGAAAAGGUGAAAAAGUGAUGGUUAGUGGAGAGAGAGAGAGAGAGAGAGGUGAAUGGUGUGUCUUUCUGCCUAGGAAAGACAACAAUUUAGGUCAAGCAGUGUGCAGAGAACAAAGCAUUAGAAAAAAUGAACCAUGGUCGUGUAUUUAAAAGUGAAUGGAAAGGGCAAUUUCAUAGGCUUUUUUUCCAACCAACCUUUCACUC